rnacentral:rRNA from 1 species
GUGAGAAUCUGCCUUUUGGACCGGGACAACUGCUGGAAACGGCAGCUAAGACCGGAUGUGCCCUUGGGUGAAAUAUUCAUAGCCAAAAGAGGAGCUCGCGACCGAUUAGCUAGUUGGUGGGGUAAGAGCCUACCAAGGCUGCGAUCGGUAGCCGGUUUGAGAGGACGACCGGCCACACUGGGACUGAGACACGGCCCAGACUCCUACGGGAGGCAGCAGUGGGGAAUUUUCCGCAAUGGGCGAAAGCCUGACGGAGCAAUACCGCGUGAGGGAGGAAGGCUCUUGGGUCGUAAACCUCUUUUCUCAGGGAAGAAGCAAUGACGGUACCUGAGGAAUCAGCAUCGGCUAACUCCGUGCCAGCAGCCGCGGUAAUACGGAGGAUGCAAGCGUUAUCCGGAAUGAUUGGGCGUAAAGCGUCCGCAGGUGGCACAUCAAGUCUGCUGUCAAAGCCCCCAGCUUAACUGGGAAGAGGCGGUGGAAACUGGUGAGCUAGAGAGCAAUAGGGGUAGAGGGAAUUCCCGGUGUAGCGGUGAAAUGCGUAGAGAUCGGGAAGAACACCAGUGGCGAAAGCGCUCUACUAGGUUGCAACUGACACUGAGGGACGAAAGCUAGGGGAGCGAAUGGGAUUAGAUACCCCA